UAUAUUAUCUGUAAAGUCGAUUAACAAGUACGCACAAUAUAUCCACAUAUAUAUACUUAUCGCACAACACAUUUGCGUACGUACGUAAGUACUUGAGUACGUUGAUCGAAAUUGAAGAACAUAGAAAAUUGAAAUGUUCGAUAACACGGUUUAUGCUGUAACGAAAUACGUCGGCCAUGUUGAAGAAAAAGAUAGGUAAACAGAUAUGGAAAGGAAAGGAGAGGAAUGGUGGCGGUGAUGGUGAACAAUGCGGGUCAUAUAUGCGGGUCAACCGGAAACUUCAUUGUAAUUUCUGCUGAUGUGAGAUAUCGUUCAUUUUGCCGAAAGUAUUAAACGUUGGUUUGCAAUGAAUGUGAAUUAAACAUAGCGGAUUAACGAAUUCAAAGAAAAAAAAAAAUCAAAUUGGACCUAAAUGACAACAGAACGAAUCUACGUCUGACAUCGCCUGCGUCUUGCCAUCGUUCAAAAUCGAAUUAAUAUUCUGCGAUGGAAUGUUGCAAUGGUGACCUACUUCUCGAAGAGUUAUAUUCCGGUAUACGACAUUCUCUCUCAAUUCGUAUAGUUGGUAAGAUCGAGCACGCUCAAUUUGGUAAUCUAAUUCAAAGAAUGCUUACUUAUUUGGCGAAGUCUAGAAACAAGCUGAGAUUGCUUUAAAAACUUUGGAAUCCAUUAGAAUCAAGUGGUUGAACUAGAUAACACCAGCGAAAAUCGAUAUUGGCGAAAAAUUAAAGGGAGCAUUUUUGAAUGAUUGCAGUAAAGUUAUCAAGGACGCUAAACAAUGGGCACAAGAGGUAGUAGUUAAUGAUAACAAUAGAUUGAUAAAUAGAUAUCAUAUAUUAAUUAUAAUAAAAUUAAUUACAUAUGUACGUAUCUUUUUUAUUAUUUUUGUGUCUGUUAAUUCAGGUCAAAAAAUUGCAAGGAAACGUGGUAAAAAUUGGGUGAAUAAGUAUUGACACUGGAAAGAUUAGGAACGAUAUAGAAUCAACAUCUCGCCGUUAUUGGAAACAUUUGUAUUCGAAUUUGCGCGUCAAGGCUCCCUCAAGAUUAAUAGCAGUCAUUAAUUUUCAAUCCUUUGCUGUAAAGGAGUUAGAAAGGAAGUCACAUAACAUUGAAGAAGUUGGAUUUGCCAAUGAAAUUCAUAAACGGAUUCAACACUAAUAUGCUGGGAUUGGAAUGGUCGCAAGCAGCAUGAAGAGAAUCUUAGAUGGUUUAGUUCAAGAAGUGCUUGGGGAUGUUUCGACGAAUUUAAUAGUCUCGAAGAAAAAACAUUAAGCGCCAUAGUGUUAACAACCAGACCUCUUCAAGAAGCUAUAAGAAACGGAUUCAGUCAAGUUGUACCUGACGAUCGAACAGUCAAUCUCGAUAUAAACUUUGCUUAUUUAUCACAAUGAAUCCAGAUGGUAAUGAAUAUGAUGGACAUCAUAUAUUUCCAGAUGGCUCAACUAGCAUUCAGACCAAUUAGCAUAGUUCAUCCUGAUAAAUUUGAUAUCAUCAAAGGAAUUUUAGAAUGCGCUGGCUUUUUGGAAUCCUUUAUAUUUGUCAAUGGUACAAGUUUUGUCGAAACCUAUGAAAUAUCUCAAAAAUUAUAUUCGAAAGAGUUUUACGAUAGAGGCCUUAGAGCAUUGCAAUCGAUAAUCGAUGCUAUUUCAUCGGCUAAUCAUCUCAACAAACCAUAUAGGUUGAAGUCUUUCUAAUACAAAUGAUUUGUUAACCAAGAUAAAACGUUUGCGAGAAGUCUUCUUAGAACUUAGCAAGUUUGGAAAUUACACCAAAAAUAUCGUAGAUCAGUGUGUACAAAUGAGCGGUCAAUUAAAAAGUAGAACAACCGUUGUGAUCGUUGACCCACUUCAAAGACUCACAGCAAAAAGAUGACCAUUAGAUAACUAUUAGCUGAGGCUUUGUUGAAAAUUGGACAACCAGUAGAUCAGUGUCUUGUUUAUCCUGGUACAGUAACAAAAUCAAGGCUUUUGGGACGCGUUAAGAAAUAAAAGAAUGGAAAGAAGAAUUAUUAUCGAGCACUGUAAUAAUAGCCGGUGAAAUUUAAAUUUGGAUCAUUUUUAAUGGCGACAUUGAACCAAAAUAGCCAGAAGCCUUAAACUCUGAUUUCGAUGAUAAUAGAUUGUUAACAUCACUUAAUGGCGUUGGUGUCAUACUCGGAAAUGGUACAAGAUUCAUAUACAAGACGCAAAAGUUAGCAAGUGCAAGUCCAAUUAUGGUUUCACAAUUAGGACUCGUCCAUCUUAGAACGAUUAAUCUGGAUUCACUUCCGUUUGUCUUAAAUAUCGAAAAUUUGUUUGUUAACGUUCGGGACAAUAUAAAGGCAUACCUGUUUAUCUGUGUGCGUGAAAAGACAAACAACUCAGUACGAUCAUCACAUUCCGAUUUGGUCAAUUCGGUUUUGUGUGAUUUACGUAAAGCUCAUACACAGACGCUUGGUACAGAGGCACAAAUUGAAGAUCAAAACGUUAGGGAUAAUAUGACCUGUUUGAUUUACCACAUGAUGGAUUGUAUAUGUCUAGAUCCUGAUAAGCCAUUCGAUGUUGUUUAUAACGAAAAGCCUAUCAAAUCAAUUAGAAUCGUUCAUUGACAUAUAUCAAUCCAUUGAGACGAAGAAUAGAUUUAUUUUACUUUCAGGCCCGUUAAAAGGACAUUAGCAUUUAUUUUAUCCUGGAUAGAAAAAAGUUAUUCUGUCAUUUUACGAGACCAAGAGGACUCAGAUAAUAGUAUCCUAAUAGCUGCUGCAUUAUCAUCUAUAUACAAUUAGGAUAAUGUACCGUCGACUUUGAUACAAGGAUUAUCUUUCCAUAGUGCACAAGAUGUUAUUACUCGUUUAAAAUGAGCUUGCGUUGGUUAGGAUUCAUUUUUUUAUGAAAGAACCUAUAAACCUAGAAAUGUUUCACAAGUUAUUUUAAUCCUUAAAGAUUACAUUUAGCUUCCAAAAAGAUGAAGGAAUUGGUGAGAGAAUUAUGUCAAGACAAAGGAUUUCGUAAAGAUGAUUUAGAAUUCGCUCAAAUUCCGUUAACGUUAUUUUGUACUGCGGAAUAUAUUACUGUUUUUCAUCUGACAUGAGAAUGUCUCAUGAUUACGUAUUAUCUAUCGUUGGUUAUUUUGAUGUUAAAGAACUAAAUAAAUAAUAAUUAGAUUGUGUAUACAUGUUUUUGUAUAUUAUUCAAGGUCUUCAAGUUCGAAAGAGAUUGUUGCUAUGUUGGAACUUCAUCUAAGAUAUCCAUUAAAACAAAAGGAUAAUUUAAUGGAGACUUCGAAGGUGACAUUGGCUAUGUUCGAAGCUUACCAGUCAACGAACUUAUCCAAAGAAUUUUCUUCCUUGUGAACAUCGAAGGAUCUUAUUUUGUGGGCUAAUUGUCUUGGCUAUUAUUUACCUUUUGAAAACGAAUAUGUCAAUUGUCAUCUGUUAAAAUCUGGCCGACGUUUAUUCCAUCUUAACAGAUUUUGAUACGCACCAACCGUACCAUACGGUGGGAAUUCGUUUGUAACCUACAUUGAAAACGGUGACACUUUUUGUUCAAUGUGCAUUUUCAAGAAAGUAUAUUCAAAUAAAACACUAAAUUCCAUUAAAUUAAAAUAAAAAAAAUUAUUUAUUGCUUUGUAUUUCGCAUUGGAUUGUUAAUCUAUAUACUAUAAAUUUAACAUUAACAUUGAGCUUUUUCCACAAUAUAUCUAAUAAUCUGGUAACGUGUGGUACAAUUAGAAACAUAUUUCUACAUCAUAUUUUAUGCAUUCGUAAUGUGUCUCACUUCUUCUCUUACGUUUUCUACAGACUACACAUUUGCGCUUUGCGUUUCUUCGAAUUGCUGCAUUUUUACGUAUGGAGACAAAAAAUGCCUUUGUGUCAAAAGAAAUGACUCAUUAUCAGUACUUUCGAUUUACUUUCAUGUGUUC